rnacentral:rRNA from 1 species
AGAAUCAACGCUGGCGGCGUGCCUAACACAUGCAAGUCGAACGAGAAAGUGGUAGCAAUACCAUGAGUAAAGUGGCGCACGGGUGAGUAACACGUGACUAACCUACCCUGGAGCGGGGGAUAACUGAGGGAAACCUUAGCUAAUACCGCAUAACACCUACGGGUCAAAGGAGCAAUUCGCUUCAGGAGGGGGUCGCGGCAGAUUAGCUAGUUGGCGGGGUAAUGGCCCACCAAGGCAGUGAUCUGUA